rnacentral:rRNA from 1 species
AGUGAACGCUGGCGGUAGGCCUAACACAUGCAAGUCGAACGGCAGCACAGUAAGAGCUUGCUCUUACGGGUGGCGAGUGGCGGACGGGUGAGGAAUACAUCGGAAUCUACUUUUUCGUGGGGGAUAACGUAGGGAAACUUACGCUAAUACCGCAUACGACCUACGGGUGAAAGCAGGGGAUCUUCGGACCUUGCGCGAUUGAAUGAGCCGAUGUCGGAUUAGCUAGUUGGCGGGGUAAAGGCCCACCAAGGCGACGAUCCGUAGCUGGUCUGAGAGGAUGAUCAGCCACACUGGAACUGAGACACGGUCCAGACUCCUACGGGAGGCAGCAGUGGGGAAUAUUGGACAAUGGGCGCAAGCCUGAUCCAGCCAUACCGCGUGGGUGAAGAAGGCCUUCGGGUUGUAAAGCCCUUUUGUUGGGAAAGAAAAGCAGCAGGUUAAUACCCCGCUGUUCUGACGGUACCCAAAGAGUAAGCACCGGUUAACUUCGUG